UACCGAGGGUGCGAGCGUUGUCCGGAAUCACUGGGCGUAAAGGGCGCGUAGGUGGCGCUGCAAGUCGGUGGUGAAAGCUCGUCGCUUAACGGCGAGUCGGCCAUCGAAACUGCAGGGCUCGAGCACUGUAGGGGCUAAUGGAAUUCCGGGUGUAGCGGUGGAAUGCGUAGAGAUCCGGAAGAACACCAGUGGCGAAGGCGGUUAGCUGGGACGGUACUGACGCUGAGGCGCGAAAGCGUGGGGAGCAAACAGG
rnacentral:rRNA from 1 species